UACGUAGGUGGCAAGCGUUGUCCGGAUUUACUGGGCGUAAAGAGCGCGCAGGCGGUCGUGCAAGUCGCGUGUGAAAGCCCCCGGCUCAACUGGGGAGGGUCACGCGAUACUGCUCGACUUGAAGGCAGGAGAGGGAAGUGGAAUUCCCGGUGUAGUGGUGAAAUGCGUAGAUAUCGGGAGGAACACCAGUGGCGAAGGCGGCUUUCUGGCCUGUUCUUGACGCUGAGGCGCGAAAGCUAGGGUAGCAAACGGG
rnacentral:rRNA from 1 species